rnacentral:rRNA from 1 species
ACGCUCGACACCUACGAGAGGCAGCAGUGGGGAAUAUUGCACAAUGGGGGAAACCCUGAUGCAGCGACGCCGCGUGAGUGAAGAAGUAUUUCGGUAUGUAAAGCUCUAUCAGCAGGGAAGAAGAUGACGGUACCUGAGUAAGAAGCCCCGGCUAACUACGUGCAGCAGCCGCGGUAAUCUGAGCGGGCUGGCAAGGC